rnacentral:rRNA from 1 species
AUUGAACGCUGGCGGCAGGCCUAACACAUGCAAGUCGAGCGAGCGGCGGACGGGUGAGUAAUGCAUGGGGACUGCCCGAUAGAGGGGGAUAACUACUGGAAACGGUAGCUAAUACCGCAUACUAUCGGAUAACCCAUAUGGGAUUAGCUAGUAGGUGAGGUAAUGGCUCACCUAGGCGACGCUCCCUAGCUGGUCUGAGAGGAUGAGCAGCCACACUGGGACUGUGACACGGCCCAUACUGCUACGGUGGCAGGAGUGGGAAAUAUUGCACAUGGGGCGCAAGCCUGAUGCAGCCAUGCCGCGUGUAUGAAGAGGGCCCUAGGGUUUUAAGGUACGUUCAGUCGGGAGGCGUUACCGACAGAAGAAGCACCGGCUAACUACGUGCCAGCAGCCGCGGUAAUUC